rnacentral:rRNA from 1 species
UACGUAGGGGGCAAGCGUUGUCCGGAUUUAUUGGGCGUAAAGAGCGUGUAGGCGGUUUGGUAGGUCCGCUGUGAAAACUCGAGGCUCAACCUCGGGCCUGCAGUGGGUACGGGCAGACUAGAGUGCGGUAGGGGAGAUUGGAAUUCCUGGUGUAGCGGUGGAAUGCGCAGAUAUCAGGAGGAACACCAAUGGCGAAGGCAGAUCUCUGGGCCGUAACUGACGCUGAGGAGCGAAAGCAUGGGGAGCGAACAGG